GAGUUUGACAUUAGCAAAUCUGGCAAAUUGGCAGAAGGCAAACAAAAUAAAGCACUUUUUGUUGUUAAUUUAAUUUUAUUACAAUACGUUAUGAUUAUCGUUCUUUAAUUUCUGACUGAACUCCUGAAUAAGUUAAGAAAUGUGUGGUGUAAAAUUAAGAAGAAUGUUAUUAUAAUGGCCCAAUAAGAAACCAAGGAAAACGUUAUGAUUUUCGUUAAAAAUGCCGGACAGUUUGAUGGAUUUGUUCUACACCACCGUGGGGGUGAUCCUCGUGAUGGUGCUGUUGACUGUCCUAUGCUGCCUGCUUAUGAAGUUAAGUGACCUGAAACUACAAAGCUACAUUGUGAAGACAGCAAAAGACAAGGGGCUGCGAGUGGACAUGGAAACACUAAAACCGAAGUACAGCGCUCAAUCGCUUAAAUCACAAGCGAAUGAUAACUGCACGAUCAUGGUGGCCGAUGUUGGUUAUAUUAUGUAGGAGUUUUUCUACUAAGAAUGUCGCACAAUAUUUUAAUAACUAGUAAGCUACCAGUGAUAUUAUGGAAUCUAAAGAAUCUAAUCAAAAUUAGCCUAUUGAUGUCCACUGCUAUUCUUAGAAACUCCCAGAAAAUACAAAUGUAGGAGCUUUCCUACUAAGAAAUCCUGUCAUACAAUAUGCCAAAUAGUGAACAAUCAAUGAUGUAAUGAAAUCAAAUCAAAAUCAACCUAAGGACAUCCACUGCUAUUCAUAGGUUCUUACCACAAAUGUAGGAGAUUUUCUACUAAGAAAUCCUGUCACAGUAUCUACCAAAUAGUGACCAACUAGUGAUGUAAUGAAAUUGAUCAAAUCAAAUAAAAAUCAGCCUACAGACGUUCACUGCUAUCCCUAGAGACUUCCAAACACCACAAAUGUAGGAGAUUUUCUACUAGGCAAUCCUGUCACAGAGUCUACAAAGUAGGAGCAACCAGUGAUGUAAUUAAAUUGAACAAUCAAUACAAAAUUAGCAUAUAGAGGUCCACUGCUAUCCCUAGAGACUUCCAAACACCACAAAUGUAGGAGAUUUUCUACUAAACAAUCCUGUCACAGAGUCUACCAAGUAGCAGUAACCAGUGAUGUAAUUAAAUUGAACAUUCAAUACAAAAUUAGCCUAUAGAGGUCCACUGCUAUCCCUAGAGACUUCCAAACACCACAAAUGUAGGAGAUUUUCUACUAAACAAUUCUGUCGCAUAAUAUACCAAAUAGUGAACAACUAGUGAUAUAAUGAUCACUUGUUGUUGGUCUAUGUCUAUUGAAAUUGAGAUCAUAGACAAUCUUUAUUUAUCUUAUAUAAGUCGUCGCACGGAGGAAUUUAUAAUUUUACGAUUAGAAUAAAUAAAAGUAUUCUAGUAUAUGUAACAAAUGUAUUUUGUUGUGUAACAAAAAAUGGAAUUGUCAUACUGUAGGCUAUUAAAUUCUAAUACCCUAUUUUGGAAUAUAGUUGAAUUUGAAUAUUUAUUUGUUUAUUUAUCCUGGAGUUUCUGUAUAUAUUUGAAGAUGAAAAAUAUUAAACAACUCUUGUAUAUAAAAUAAACAUGUAAACAAAUCAAUCUAUCAAGUUUAUGAAGUUUGUACUGCACAUAAAAGAUAGUUGAUAUUUUAUAUAUUUCAAAUAUUGUAUGUAUAUUGAAAAAAAAAAUGCGUUUUCUAAUUAUAAAUUAACAUGUGCUUUGGCUGGUAUACGUCCGACUUGAUCAAUAAAUGGAAUAGUCCUUGGGCUCAGAGGUUAAAUAUUUAAUAGAGGUUACUAGCGAAUGUAUAUAUAUUUUGGUCUAUAUUAUCAACCUAUUAAAAUCAACAUUUAAUCAAUUAACGAAAUGUCAUUUAGCCACUGGGUGAUAUCCACCAGUAAGCACCGGAUGACAUUUACAUAGAAUCUCAAUGUCGUAUAUGCCAACUAGCACACGUCAAAGGUAGUGAAUAAGCCUGGGUCUCAAGGACUAUAACUAUAUAAUUAUAAACUCUUGAUCAGUUAAUUGGAUGAGUCGGGCGUCCAAAAAGCGUGAUUAAAAUUAAUUAUUGCUAAGUAAUUAGAAUUUAGACUUGCCUUAUUCUGUGUCUUUAUCUACUAGAAAUGUAUACUAUGGUUUGUCAGGUAACAAUGUAGGUACACUAAUAUUAUAAAGGUGGGCUUGCAACCCACAGCACAGUAAUGCAUACUGUGGCCAAAUUGUUUAAGAGUUUAUAUAUACGAGUACUAGAUAUUGAGAAAGGGUAACAAAAUAUCAGAAUGUCUAGCUAAAAGUUUGUUAACCUAUGCUUUUUCAUAACUAAUUUAUUUAAAUCUAGAGGACGCCUGCGACUUCGCGUGAAACUCAAUAUAAAGUAUCAAUCCCUAUUUCACCCUCAUCUAUCAAUAUUAUAUAAUAAUAUAUAUUAAUUUCGCCUGUUUCAUAAAUAUAUAAAAAGUCCUCUAAUCAUUUUACAAAACGUGAACGGUUUAUAUUAUAAUAACUAGCGAUUUAUACCAACAUUUUUGUUUUGUUUACUAUAAAGUAUUCUACAUCGAGUUUGAUUUUAGUAUAGACAUUGCAAACUUAUUUAAUGGAAUGAUCAAUGGCAUUCAAGUGGCAAUAUUGUGCAGCUUAUAAUGACGUCUCGGAUAUUGAUCGAAUAUAUGAAACGCGCCACGGUAGAGCAAAUAAUAUUUCCGAUUUGGCGGUAUUGGUCGACAAUAUGCAAUUUCGUCUUCACGUGAUGUCGCAUUUUAGGCCUACUGGGUGGCCUAAAAUUUAUUUUUUUACAUAAAAUAACAAUUCAAAAUAGCAAAUUAUAAUUGGUAGUUAUACUAUAACCUGUUUAGUUGAUCCUCUGUACAAAGUUGAUCUCAAUUUUUUCAAUGUAUUAAUAAUAACUGUAACGUGUUUUUGAGUGUUUUAAAUAAUAUACACACCAAUGGAAUUAAUGAUUGGUCUCGUCACAGUUUAAUAAUAUUGUAGAUACCGUAAUGAUGUGUUCAAAAAUGACGAUUAUGUUAUUGUCUCCGCGACAUUUUUUUUUAUAUAUCUGAAAACAGUCUGUAGUAUUCACUUACCAUAAGGAGACCUCCCAUGGUCUUCAUUGUGCCUAGUGGGAGUUUUCAAUGUUUUCAUACUUGUUACUAUCGCGUGAGGGGAUCAUCUCCUCCCGAGAGUGUCGGGUGAGGGGGUACGGGCCUCGAGGCUUUGCCUCCUUGCCCGAGUAAGACGCAGCGGAACUUGUUCCCCCCGGUGAUUUCUUCCAGCCCCUUUCGGGGCUGAGGCAUCUUGGCCUAUGAGUUGAAUUUUUCCUAUUUUUUUUUAAAUUUUUAUUUAUUAUUGUCCUUCAGCGCGGCGAUGUCUUGUCUGGUGCUUGCGUCAUUUAUAAAGUCGUCUCCGCUGCCUCCGGUGCCUACGUCUUCUGAGAUGGCCAUUUGUAGAAGCUCACGAGGUAGAGGACGCCCAUUUGGUGGUCUUUCGCAGUGCGGUGCUAUACCAUGUAGAUAAAUGUGCGGUCCGUUAUCCGCUCGCGCGAACAUUCGGCGCGCUAGACCUCGGACGAACUCCUCCACGGAGGGCGUCCUGGUGUCACGGUGAAUGAUGUCAUUUCUGACGUACCUCGGAGCUCCUGUGGCAAGGAUCUGGCCUGUUACUAUCGCGAUAAGGAAUUGAAAUAGUUGAGCAGUAGUGCCACUAGAUGACGCUGUUUCAAUUCCUUAGAAAUUCGCGUUUACGUUAAUGUGAUCGUCACAGUAUCAAACUGCCAGUAGGCUUUCAGAUGGUAAAUACAUACUACAGAUUCACAGUUUUAAUUUAUGUAAUCAAAAUUUCAAUCAAUAUAAUUAGAAAAAAUGUACAGUUAAAUAUGACUGACACUACACACGUACAAUGGAACUGUUUAGUUAAAACUGCACAUUUGUAGCACGGGUAAUGCUUUUCUAAGGAGUUUAUUUAAACUGCCAUUUAAAGUUUAAAUAGUUGAAGUGGGCUCUCAUUUCAAUUGUACGAUCAUGAUCAAUACUGAUCAUGACGUGUCAUUAUUAUUAAUUGUUAAUUUUUUUUGUAUAUCAUUUGCACAUUAUAAAAAAAAGAACUCGUAAAUAGUGUUUAUUUAUAUUUCUAAAAGUUUUUUUUUUACAUUUCGUUAUUUUUUUGGUCGAGAGUUGCAUUUUUUUUAAAAUGUUUGUAAUAUGCGGAGACUAAAGUUAAUCGUCCUAUUGACUAUGAAAUUCUAAAAAAAUAUCCUUUAAAGCAAUAAAUAAUUCAUGUUUUAAUCAAAUAAUCCUUAAGCUUGACUAUAGGACUAGAUCGUUACCACUAAGUACUCGUGUUUCAUCUUAAAGUUCCUAUUUGAUAAUAGCACUGCAACUUAUCUAAACUAAUAUUAAAAAUAGGUAAAGUUUGUAAUACCUCCGGAUGUACUGAACCGAUUUUGAAUAUUCUUUUACCAGUAGAAAGCCACGUUAUUUGUGAGUCUCAUAGGCUAAGUUUAAUCCCUUAUUAUUCUUACGGGACGUAUUCUUACGGGAACGGGAACUACGAGUGAAACCGUGGGUCGUCGGCUAGUGCAUAAUGUAUGCAAUUAUAAACAUAGGACGCACAUUGAUCCUAAUGUAAGUUUUGAAGUUCUAAACUAUUUGUAAGUUCACCUAUACUUCUAUAUCUUUAUAAUAUAAUAUUGAGAUAUAUUUUUUUAAUAUUAUAAAGCUGAAAAGUUUCGUUGAAUGUGCUAAUCUCGAGAACUAUUUACUAGUUAGUUAAACUAUAAUCUGGCAAGUUCGUUAUAGCAUGAUAUGCGGGUGACAGGGGGAAAUAUUGCGCGGGUGUGAAAUCGUGCGUACGGGGAAGUGACGUACAUCAGUCGUGGGUCUAUUCAUCGCUACGAUCGAAGUUGCCAAGCUAUAAAAUUCUUUCAGUGUUACAAUAAAGGUAAUUGAAACUAUGAGGUUAUACCUACUGAUCGCAUUGGCUAUCUACUGUUAGAAUUCAUAAUUAUAGUGCGAUACAAAAGAGUAGAAAAUAAAUGAGGAUGCUGUGGUCACUUAUUGUCGUUCAUAGGGUAACACUGUGUUCUGUCAUCCACUUGGGAUUGCAACUAUCUUGAUACUUGAUAAUAAAUGAUAUUUUGUUCUACUUAGGUAAUAUUAUGUUCGUUAAAUAAGAUGAUAUGUUGAAAUAGUACAUUAAGAUAUAUGUGCGGUAAGUUGAAAAUUACAGCCGAGGCGAUAUUGCAGCUCGAGCCAAGGGCGAGAGUUAUAGUAAGGAAGCAGAGGCUGUAAUUAUCAAAGCGCACGUAUGUCAUAUGACGUUUUAUAACACAUUUGCACACACUAUCUGAAAGUGAAUAUGCAUCUAUUUUUUCUGAUUUUGACACGCUUGUCAUUUUUACAAAGAUAGCGAAGUGCGAGCAUCAGCGUUUUUUUUAGAGGCAAAUGCUCCAAAAACAGCCAGUAUUAGGACUAGUAAUGUAAAUAAAUUUUUGUGUUUCUGUUACAGAUAAAUGGUUGUCAUUUAUUGUCAAAAUAAUUAAAAUGAAAGAAUUAAAUGUUUAUUUAUUACAUUUAAUCUCACAAAAUUAAUUUUAUUCAUAAAGUGUUGAGCACUUUUCUGAAAAACUUUUUGCCAAGAUUUAAAAAGUACCAUUCGUUAUUAGUCGCAUGAUAAAGGUUUUAUAUUACAUUACGACACAUGUGCGUAAUGAGAUACAUUACGAUAUUGAAAUUGGUGAAAUAAGCGAUACUUUAUGAGCAAAUGUGUUAUAAAUAAUAUUAUUAUCUACUAUAAAUAAAUUAAUGAGUAUAUUUGGAAAAUACUUACUCGCGAAGUAAGCAUCAUGUGUAAUGAUUUACAUAUAUUAAAUUUAAAUAAAUUUAAGUCAAUCUCAUCUAAAUAAAUAGUAAUAUAUAAUAAAUAAAUGUUGCCAGGUGUCCAGAUAAAGCCGGACGUAGUUAGGUUUUCUAUUCCGUGUCCGGCCAAAAUAAACGGUGUCCGGUUUUUAAUUUGGCAAACCAGCAAAUGACGAGAGUGUGUGGGUUUAAAAUUUACGGUAAUAAUCAUGAUUGCUUGAUAAUACUGAUGUACACAAAAUCCUCAAUAAUGUAGGCUGUCCUUGUCUUUUAAUCCAAAUGUCAGGCCAAACUGACUGGACUGUCCUGCUUUUAAUAUCGGCGACCUGACAACCCUAUAAAUAAAUAAUAUUUAUUGUAACUCGUCUGGUAAUUAUCCGAAUUUAAAACUAUCAAUAAUAUUUGGUUGCUCUAUAGUGACAGGUCUUUGUGAUAAUGACAGUAAAUGCAGUGUUGCCACACAGCAAGUUUAUUAGUUCCAUUUUUAUUAACUUUUACUCUUUUAUGUCGCACUAUACCUAUAUGUAUACCUAUUAUUCUAUAUACUUAUAAAUUCAAUUGAGAGUUUUAACUCCAACUACCUCCUAUCUCACUUUUGUAUUACCUAGUUAAAACAUAAUUUUAAAACAUUUAUACAUGUUUAUGGAUAUAAAACUUUAUUAGGUAUUAUUAAAACGUUGAUAUUUUUUGUAUGGAACGUGACUAAGUUAAUUUUAAUUUAUUGUAAUAGUUCUAAGAUAAUUAUAGUUAUUAUAUUGAUUGUUUUGAUGUUGUUGCUUCUUUUUACGGUUUGGGCAGACGGAACAAGACGGAACGGACAGAUCGGACGUGACGGCGACGCGACGCUGGGGUGAUUAACGCCCGCCACAGACGUUCAAGUAUAUAUCGCUGCUUGCAGCUCGCGUAGGGAUGUGGGCAGUGAACAAAAAUGAAGGCUGCUUUCGACUGAUGUAACAGCUCUCCCUCUCAACAUCCGUUAGCCAUGCUCGAUUACAAUUUUUAGUUUUUACUUGAACUCAGUGGCGUAGCGUGCUUUGGAGGAGCCCUGUAUCAAAAUUAGUUUAAGGGCCCACAUAAAGGUAAAAAUUUUCACAUAAGAAACAAAAAUGCUUGCCUAAAAUAAGUAUGACAGCGAUUUAACAUAAAUAGGAUGUUUCCAACUUUUUAACGCACGCUUAAAAUCCGGGGAAAAAAAGAAAUUGCGUUUUAGAGUUUUGUCAUUUCUGAAGAAAAAUUGUUUAAGCAGCUUUUUUGUAUAUUUUUUUUUCGGGAAGCACUAGAUUCAGUGACAUUCUAGAUAACACUUUACUAAUUAUAUCCCGUAACAUUGAUAUGGCUGAUACGGCGGUAGGUACGCCCCUGCUUAAGCUAUAGAGGCUUCAAUUUCAAUUGAGACUUUGGUCCAGUGUCAUGGAUUCUCGGUCAAUAUCUCUUAAAAUUUUGUUGUUACAUAAUGGGGAUGAUGACUAGGUUUGAAUAUAUUGAUUUUUAUGAUACAUUCGGGCAAAUAAGGUCAAUGUUAACUAAUUUAUACAUAAAAAGCAAAGGCAAAGAGAUUGUCUGGAUAUUUGCAAAAUAAAUAAGAUUAUAAAAUUUCAAAAUCUAUUAAAAAUCUUUUAUCGUUAUUAGAUGAAAGUUCAUACAGUUUUAGCUUCCUGAGGUACAUUAAAUGAGACAUUUUUUAAUAUUUGAAUUAUAAACAUAAACGCACAAAUAACAAAGAUGUUAGUAAUUUUGUUUGAACGCACAUACAAAUCUAACGAUUAUUACAUUACCUACGACGUCAUUGCCAUUUUGUAUGGGGCGUUUUUCAGGGAUCCGCAACAGCGCCGCAAAUCUGGCCCUUUAAAUUCCUCUAGGUCCGAAAGAAAUGAUCACAGAUACCCUGUUCCUUUUACAGAAUUGCUUUACUAUUAGCAUACUCUUAAUUUAUAUACAAUUUAAAAAACUGUCAUCAUUCCUAAUGUUAGCCGGCGUGCAGUCUAUCACGUCGUGUCACCGUCGCGUUGCCGUCCUGUCUGCGUUGCGUCGCCGUUCCGUCCCGUCUGCAAAAACUUUUGAUACUGCCACUUUUUGACUGAUAUCUCCGAAAUUGUGUGGUCCUAAUUUUAUUCUCGUGUAUUAUUUGUAUAAUCAAAAUAAAAUAUUGUCAAUGUA